GAUGAACGCUGGCGGCGUGCUUAACACAUGCAAGUCGAACGAUGAAGCCCAGCUUGCUGGGUGGAUUAGUGGCGAACGGGUGAGUAACACGUGAGUAACCUGCCCUUAACUCUGGGAUAAGCCUGGGAAACUGGGUCUAAUACCGGAUAGGAGCGUCCACCGCAUGGUGGGUGUUGGAAAGAUUUAUCGGUUUUGGAUGGACUCGCGGCCUAUCAGCUUGUUGGUGAGGUAAUGGCUCACCAAGGCGACGACGGGUAGCCGGCCUGGGAGGGUGACCGGCCACACUGGGACUGGGGCACGACCCAGACUCCUUCGGGAGGCAGCGGUGGGGACUAGUGCACAAUGGGCGCAGGCCUGGUGCAGCGACGCCGCGUGGGGAAUGACGGCCUUCGGGUUGUAAACCUCUUUCAGUAGGGAAGAAGCGAAAGGGACGGUACCUGCAGAAGAGGCACCGGCUAACUACGU
rnacentral:rRNA from 1 species